UCAACCCCACUCCUCUUUAUACGCAACAAUCACCUCUCAAAAGAAAAAAAACUGCUUCUUAAUUUAUAAUGCUUAGAUAUGCAUUAAUUACUUAUUUUCGACUCACACCAACUUAAUCAGCUAGAAAGCAGGAUGGCUAUGAGAAUCUAAAGAGAUAUUGAGUAAAACCCCACCAGAAGGAGUUUGCAACGGCUGCUACACAUACGCUAAUUAUCAAGUCUUAGCAAGCGGCUCAAUUUCAUGAAUUCCGCAACAAAUUCUUUGGAUAAACACCAAAUUUUGUGGUGAAACUGAUUCUGAAGAUAGGAUUGAAAGUUUGGUACAACUUACUGAAAAGAACUGGCUUUCGAGAAAGAAGCUUACCUCAACAAUUUACAAUUUCCUUCUCCUUCACAUCAAGAUUAUGGCACCAAAUAAGCAAUGGAUGGAACUUAUUAAUGAUCGACUUGCUGGUGCUUACGUAGAUGGGGUGGAAAGUUUUUUAGAUUAUGCUUUUACAAGAUUGGGAGAACCACAAUUGAUACGUUGUCCCUGCAUCAAAUGUGGUAAUGCGACUUCUAGAACACGUGUUGUGGUCAGGUCACAUUUGAUAGUACAUGGGAUAAUACCGGGUUAUACUCUUUGGUAUCACCAUGGGGAGAGGUCAGGUGAAGCACAACCAGAUUUUGAAUUUAUAUAUGACAAUGACAUCGAAGAGGGUGAUGGUGAGGAUGAAAUACAUGGGAUUUUGAGAGAUUUGUAUUAUAAUGGAGAUAAUAUGAACAAUAGUGGUGAUGAUUUUGUCGAGGAGGAAACAAAUCCUGAAGCAAAAUGAUUUUAUAAGCUACUGGAGGAUUUUGAGCUACUUUUAUAUGAAAGUGCAAAAGUUUCUAAACUUUCUACUUUGGUUAAAUUGCUUCACAUUAAAAGUAUUGGUCAUUGGAGUAAUGAGUCAUUUACGAUGUUAUUAAAGUUUUUGAAAGAAGAUUUAUUGCUUGAUGGAACAAACUUGCCAAAUUCAUAUUACGAGGCAAAGAAGGUUAUUCGAGAUCUUGGUCUUUCUUAUAAGAAGAUUGAUGCGUGUAAGAAUGAUUGCAUGUUAUAUUGGAAGGAUGAUAAUUGUCUUGAAUUUGCAAAGUUUGUGGGGCAUCCAGAUGGAAGGAGGAUAAACAUAGUGGGGAAACCAUAUUUAAAAGUGGAAAAAAGAUACCAUACAAGAUUUUACGUUAUUUUCCUCUAAAGACCAGACUUCAAAGAUUAAUUAUGGGUUCAAAGACAUCUCCUCUUAUAUCAUGGCAUCAUGAUAAAAGAGUUGAUGAUGGGAUUAUGAGACACCCAGCUGAUUCAAUGGUAUGGAAAAACUUUGAUGAGCUUCACCCAUCUUUUGCUGCUAAGCCUCGUAAUGUAAGACUUGGGCUUGCUAGUGAUGGAUUUCAACCAUUUGGAAUGUCCAGAACUCCAUACAGCAUUUGGCCCGUGGUACUUAUUCCUUAUAAUUUACCACCUUGGCUUUGCAUGAAGCAAGAGAAUUUUAUUUUGUCAAUGUUUAUACCUGGUCCUGAGAGUCUGCAAUUGAUGUCUAUCUUCAACCUUUGAUAGAGGAAUUGAAUGAAUUAUGGGAAACUGGAGUGGAGACCUUUGAUGCGUUAACUAAAAAGAAUUUUACAUUACAUGCGUCUUUGUUAUGGACCAUCAACGACUUUCCAGCAUAUGCAAAUUUGUCUGGAUAAAGUACAAAAGGAAAAUUGGAUUGCCCAUGUUGCAAUAAAGGAACUGUUUCCACAAGGCUAAAAAAUUGUAAAAAACAGUGUUACAUGGGCCACAGACGCUUUCUUCCUCUUGAUCACAAAUGGAGGAAUGAUAAAGCGUCAUUUGAUGGCACUAAGGAGAUGAUACUACCACCAAAAAUGUUGUCCAGUGGUGAUAUACUUGAUCAAGUUGCUGAUUUAGAUGGGUUACCACUAACAAAGGAUCCAAAGAAGAAGAAUAAGAUAUCACAUGAAAGUAGGGGUGAUAAUUGGAAUAAGAAGAGUAUAUUCUUUGAUCUU